AACAGGAUUAGAUACCCUGGUAGUCCACGCCCUAAACGAUGUCUACUAGUUGUUGGUGGAGUAAAAUCCAUGAGUAACGCAGCUAACGCGUGAAGUAGACCGCCUGGGGAGUACGGUCGCAAGAUUAAAACUCAAAUGAAUUGACGGGGGCCCGCACAAGCGGUGGAUUAUGUGGAUUAAUUCGAUGCAACGCGAAAAACCUUACCUGGCCUUGACAUGUACGGAACUUUCCAGAGAUGGAUUGGUGCUCGAAAGAGAACCGUAACACAGGUGCUGCAUGGCUGUCGUCAGCUCGUGUCGUGAGAUGUUGGGUUAAGUCCCGCAACGAGCGCAACCCUUGCCAAUAAUUGCCAUCAUUUAGUUGGGCACUUUAUUGGGACUGCCGAUGACAAAUCGGAGGAAGGUGGGGAUGACGUCAAGUCCUCAUGGCCCUUAUGGCCAGGGCUUCACACGUAAUACAAUGGUCGGUACAGAGGGUUGCCAACCCGCGAGGGGGAGCCAAUCCCAGAAAGCCGAUCGUAGUCCGGAUUGCAGGCUGCAACUCGCCUGCAUGAAGUCGGAAUCGCUAGUAAUCGCGGAUCAGCAUGUCGCGGUGAAUACGUUCCCGGGCCUUGUACACACCGCCCGUCACACCAUGGGAGUGGGUUUUACCAGAAGUAGUUAGCCUAACCGUAAGGAGGGCGAUUACCACGGUAGUAUUCAUGACUGGGGUGAAGUCGUAACAAGGUAACC
rnacentral:rRNA from 1 species